UACAGAGGGUGCAAGCGUUAAUCGGAAUUACUGGGCGUAAAGCGUGCGCAGGCGGUUAUGUAAGACAGAUGUGAAAUCCCCGGGCUCAACCUGGGAACUGCAUUUGUGACUGCAUAGCUAGAGUACGGUAGAGGGGGAUGGAAUUCCGCGUGUAGCAGUGAAAUGCGUAGAUAUGCGGAGGAACACCGAUGGCGAAGGCAAUCCCCUGGACCUGUACUGACGCUCAUGCACGAAAGCGUGGGGAGCAAACAGG
rnacentral:rRNA from 1 species